rnacentral:rRNA from 1 species
GAUGAACGCUAGCUACAGGCUUAACACAUGCAAGUCGAGCGACCGGCGCACGGGUGAGUAACACGUAUCCCACCUGCCCUUUACUCGGGGAUAGCCUUUCGAAAGAAAGAUUAAUACCCGAUAUAAAGGAUGGGGAUGCGUUCCAUUAGGUUGUUGGUGAGGUAACGGCUCACCAAGCCUUCGAUGGAUAGGGGUUCUGAGAGGAAGGUCCCCGAGAUUGGAACUGAGACAAGGCCCAAACUCUUAGGGGAGGCAGGAGUGAGGAAGAUAGGUAAAUGAGCGCUAGCCUGAACCAGCCAAGUAGCGUGAAGGAUGAAGGCUUAUGGGUCGUAAACUUCUGUUAUAUAAGAAUAUGUAUUAUAUGAAUAAGGAUCGGCUAACUCCGUGCCAGCAGCCGCGGUAAUUC